UCGAGAGCAUAUAUCGCUACGUCUUCCUGCAAUGAGAUAUGUUAAAAUUUUCAAGGAGCGUUUAAAAUACGUCAAUGUGUCUGUUAUUCUAUGGAUUUAACAGAUCAAGUAAAUGUACCACAGAUGUAGUGGAAAUAUCUACGGUUUAUUUACCCCGAGGAGAGAGAUAGUAGCGCUCUAAUGAAGGCAAAUGUUUGCGACCGGAUGUGGCCGGCUGCACUUCCCACUUGUCUAAAUUGAUAAGCGUUUCACGAGAUAGAGGAUAACCAUGCGUGGGUUAAUCGAUUUUUAGAUUCAUUUACUCUCGACCUAAUGCGUGACAUUCACAAUGGGUGUUGCAAUGACAUCCAGUAAUUUAUAAUUGCUUUAACAAACGUUGCGUUCACAUACGUCUUUAUUUGAUUCAUUCAAGGGUAAUUAUUAAUUACUGAUUAUACGGCUCGUUGUAGCGGUGUAAUCAGUAGAAGAGGCGUGUGUGGGAUGCUCAUCAUUAAGAGUGCCGUUCAUUAUCGGUAUGAGAUGGGUUUAUCAUUUGAUUACUCAGAAAAUAAAUUGAAAGCGUUUCAUACGUAUAUUGCUGCUAUUUAUUCUAUGGGAGAUUAGAUUUGCUGAGAAGACGGUGAUAAUUCCAAAAAA
rnacentral:lncRNA from 13 species